rfam:Candidatus Kaiserbacteria bacterium RIFCSPLOWO2_01_FTLL_53_17 rifcsplowo2_01_scaffold_24500, whole genome shotgun sequence.
GGACGCUUAGCUCAGUGGUAGAGCAACGCUUUUACACAGCGAAGGUCGGGGGUUCAAAUCCCUCAGCGUCCA